rnacentral:rRNA from 1 species
CGGGAAUAUUGCGCAAUGGAGGAAACUCUGACGCAGUGACGCCGCGUGCAGGAAGAAGGUUUUCGGAUUGUAAACUGCUUUAGACAGGGAAGAAACAAAUGACAGUACCUGUAGAAUAAGCUCCGGCUAACUACGUGCCAGCAGCCGCGGUAAUACGUAGGGAGCAAGCGUUAUCCGGAUUUAUUGGGUGUAAAGGGUGCGUAGACGGGAAGUCAAGUUAGUUGUGAAAUCCCUCGGCUUAACUGAGGAACUGCAACUAAAACUAACUUUCUUGAGUGCUGGAGAGGAAAGUGGAAUUCCUAGUGUAGCGGUGAAAUGCGUAGAUAUUAGGAGGAACACCAGUGGCGAAGGCGACUUUCUGGACAGUAACUGACGUUGAGGCACGAAAGUGUGGGGAGCAAACAGG